rnacentral:piRNA from 1 species
CAGAGCUGAGGUGGGACUAAGAGAA